AGCAGCCGCGGUAAUUCCAGCUCCAAUAGCGUAUAUUAAAGUUGUUGCAGUUAAAAAGCUCGUAGUUGAAUUUCGGGAUCGACGGGUCGGUCGCGCCUCUGGUGUGUACUGGCCCUGUCGGUUUCUCCCUUCUGACGAACCACGAUGUCAUUAAUUUGGCGUCGUGGGAAAUCAGGACUGUUACUUUGAAAAAAUUAGAGUGUUUAAAGCAGGCAUUCGCUUGAAUACAUUAGCAUGGAAUAAUGAAAUAGGACGUUUGAUCUUAUUUUGUUGGUUUCUAAGAUCGACGUAAUGAUUAAUAGGGAUAGUUGGGGGCAUUAGUAUUCAAUUGUCAGAGGUGAAAUUCUUGGAUUUAUUGAAGACUAACUACUGCGAAAGCAUUUGCCAAGGAUGUUUUCAUUAAUCAAGAACGAAAGUUAGGGGAUCGAAGACGAUCAGAUACCGUCGUAGUCUUAACCAUAAACUAUGCCGACUAGGGAUCGGAUGAUGUUAAUUUUUAAUGACUCAUUCGGCGCCUUAC
rnacentral:rRNA from 1 species